rnacentral:rRNA from 1 species
CUCUAAAAACGGUGUAGAAUAAGGGGUGGGCAAGUCUGGUGUCAGCCGCCGCGGUAAUACCAGCACCCCGAGUGGUCGGGACGAUUAUUGGGCCUAAAGCAUCCGUAGCCGGUUUUACAAGUCUUCCGUUAAAUCCAGCCGCUCAACGGAUGGGCCGCGGAGGAUACUGUAGAACUAGGAGGCGGGAGAGGCAAGCGGUACUUAGUGGGUAGGGGUAAAAUCCACUGAUCCAUUGAAGACCACCAGUGGCGAAGGCGGCUUGCCAGAACGCGCUCGACGGUGAGGGAUGAAAGCUGGGGGAGCAAACCGGAUUAGAUACCCGGGUAGUCCCAGCUGUAAACGAUGCAGACUCGGUGAUGGGCUAGCCUUGUGCCAGCCCAGUGCCGCAGGGAAGCCGUUAAGUCUGCCGCCUGGGGAGUACGGUCGCAAGACUGAAACUU